UUGUAGCAAUCAAUCCCCUGCAUCAGGCUAUCUAAUUCAAAAAGGUAUUCAAAAUCCUUGAACUCUUCCAUAUCCAUGUUUUUGGCACUGAAAUUCAAGGUUUUGAAGGGGGCUAGAGAUUGGCAAGGGUUCUUUGAGCUACCCUUGCUGUCAUAGCAACCCACAAACUUCACAGAGGGACCAAGUGAGAAGUGAAAGGUCUCUGCAGAGCUCCCAUGAGCUGGGUGGAGAGAAUGGAAAUCUCCCACUCUGACAAAACUAAGAACAGUGAACAUCUUCUCUACACAUCCCCUGCGCUCAGAAACAGAUCUUCCCUUUUGUGCUGAUGUGCUCGCUGCACCUGAGGCUGCCCCCCUACAUCCUUCUUGAACACAAAACCAGCAUGAAGUGCCCUGUGCUUUCCACUCCUUGUUCCAGUGAAAAUACUACAGGAAAAGGUAUUCCCCUGGUACAGUAUAUAGAAUGAAGAUAAUGGCAUAGAAAAGAAAAAUCAACAAAAACUACCUGCUGAAAUAAGCUAAAAUGCAAUAUGUAAGGGACUAAUAUUUUCAAAAGAAAAUUCUGAAAGCUAAAAUUUACAGAAAAAUUUAGAUAAUAACUUUACUUCAUUGAUUUGUUUUCAGUACGAAAAACUGAAAAAACCAUACACCACAGGAGAAAGGUUGCUCUCCCACAAUGCUGACUAGAGGCUCUGCUGCUAUCAUAAUUGCAGAAGAGUUGUGUACAUACUAAAAUAGGACAUCCCUUUAUCCCAUAUAACUCAGUAUUGAAAAUAUAUGCUUGCAAAGAUGUUUGUAAUUAUAUAAACUAUGUUUAAAAAAAUUGAAGAAGAGAAAAUAAUUUUUUUCCCCUCUGGAUAUUUUCUUUGUUGUAAGUGGCUUAUUUGAAUGAUGGUACAAUGUGGUUUGUAGCAGAGGAUUUUGUGUCUGGAAUAAUGAAUUUUCUCCUAACAUGCUCAGUUUAAGCAUCCAUUGAGAAAAAAGUGCAUCACACUGUAAUGAUGUACCACAACAGCAGAGAAUUUCAUAUUAAUAUCAUGUGAUGCCAAAGGCCCUCCUGGCAUUGUCUGAGGUGCUGCUGUAGAGCCACUAAUUUUGCAUUGUUAGUGUUGAUAACAUCAUCUGAAUACAAAUGUAAAUACUAUAAACAAAUUCUAGAUUAAAAUAUGACAGGAAAUCCUCUCUCCUCCUGAAAAAGAAAGCUGAUAUUUAAUUUUCAGACAAGCUGUUUUCUUCUUAAUAUCUUUGCACACACAGUUCACAAACAGCUCAUCACAAACUAAGCUGAGAUGAAAAGAAGCAGGAUGCUGUCAGCUGCUCUGAGUAGCCAGCCAUGGGGAUGCUCUUACUCCAGGGCAAGUAUACACAUGAGUCUGUCUCCCUGUUCAGGGAAGGAGUUGCUCCACGUAGUCCAUAGGCAAGAGCAUGCUCUCAGCUUGUAAUCAAGAAACAGCUGACGUGGUCUAUCUGCAUGCCAAAAAUUGCUCCAGAAGAGCUUUGUGCUGGACUGUAUUCCAGGCAGAGAUUUACCCUGGCGCCAGUGGGGAUUUAAUUUCUCUUUUUGUUCCCUGUCUGUUGCCCCUUGCCCCUGCCCCGCACAGUAUGAGUCUGUAUCCAAUUCCCCAGUUCCAAACAUCCAUGAAGGUGAGCACAGCACCGGUGUAGCCACAGCGGAGAAGGAAUGGGAAGGGAAGAUGCUGAUGCCUCUUUCUGGCUGCAGAACUGUGCCACCAGCCUUUCCCUAUCACGUGAGCCACCAUGCAAGUGUAUAGAAUAGCACUGAGAACAAGGCCUGCUUGCACCAGCCCACACCCUUCACAGUCUGUUCACAUACAGAGUUAUGUUAACACCAGUGUGUUCCGAGGUACCUCAUAAACACAAUACAGACUUAAAAAGCAGAGAUUAAGCUAAAUCACUUAGAGCAGUUACCUCCUUCUAUGACUGUGCAGGACUGCACUCCUUACCAAUUGGAGCUGAAAAACACCAAAUUAUGGACUUCAUACACAUUCUUGGCAUAUUAUUCUUCUUUCACAGGCAGGAAAUAUUUUUCUAAUCUUCAUCUAAAUUUGCUCAAUAUGCUGUUCCCACACUGCUGAUAACAAACCUUUGGAAACUAGUACUCUGCAAUAACAGCUUUGCAGCGUUCCCUCUUCAAACUGCAAGCCUGGAUUGUGGUGAGGGAAAAAUCUUGCCUUAGAAGUGUGCCAGCACUGCGGGGACAUGACUGUGGCAAUCAGUGCCGAGGCCAGCUGCUCCUGCAGCCACACAUGGGCACAGCAGUCUGACAGCAGUUUGACUCGGGUACAGCCAGCAGGGUGCCACAUGAAACUCAACAUGAAAGCCCUGGGUGAGCAGGGAGGUUCAUAGCCAACCUGGUUAGAGCUCUCUGGUUUUGCAAUCACUCUGCUUGCUUUAUCCAGUCCUAUUGAAAUUAGUCAAAUUCAUCACAGGCAUCGUCAAAGCUAGAAAUGCAUUGGAGGAAUACCUGUAGGAAGGAGGUUAGCCUGUUCCAAAUUUGACAGUGAUAACUUCCUGGCGAGGAAAAGGAUGUUACUAAGAAAAAAUAGAGAAAAAAGGUGUUGAUUGUUUCAGCUUAAAAACCCCACAAUGAAAUAUUGCAUUGUUUUGAAGUUUAUUCUUGUCUUCCUUUCUUCCCAAAAUAUCAUAGUUAUUUUGAACGAGGAAAUAGAAGAGCUACAAAAGGGAGAGAUUUUCUUCACAACUUUUGCCUUUUGAAAAACAGACAUUUCUGUGUUCUUUUUACACCUUGUUUUGAUGUCUGUUUGGUUAAAAAACAUGCUUUUGAAAAUGAAAGAAGGGUUGAUAUUAAGGAUUCCGUACCUAGUCUCAGAUUUCUAUUCUUGUUAACCCUGUUAACCCUGACAGAAUGACUUUCAUAGUUUCAAUAAUGACUGUCCUUCAACAAGAUAAAAUGUGGGUAAAAUUCUGCUAAGCCUUGAACUCUGCCAGUCUCUCUCCAUGUUGAAAGUACAAAGAAAGGAUAGACCAUGCCUUUGUAAUUUCCCAAAAAUAAUCUGGAAUAACUUUAAAUUUUAUUUUUCUUCUCAAUUUAAAAUUAUUCAUCACCCCCAUACAGAGAGUUUGCAAAGAAAAUGUUUUGGUAGGGAAACAAACUUUAGGGGUAGGAGUAUGGGAUAUUUGCCCUUUUUUAGAAUACUCAUAGGUCCUUUCUGUAUUUCUGUGGCAUCCUCAGUGCUCGCUGUUUUAUUUCUGUUCAGUCCCAGGCUGAAUUUUUCCAAGCAAGGACAAGUGCCAGAGCUGCUCAGAAUACCACGUUUUCUAAGAUGUCCACAAUAUUAGUGACAGAGCAGCUGAGAAUGUUCCAGAACCGGCCAUGGGAGCAUUGGCCCAGACUCUUGGGACAGCAGUAGUCUUAAAGCCCUACAGUUAAAGGCAGUAUCGUAGGUUUUUCCAAAAACCCAAGCUCUUCCCCUCAGACACUUUUAUCCCUCCAUACAAAUCCAAACUCCUUUCCUUCAGCUAUAGUUCCUCAAAUAAGGCAUUGCUGGCCAGAACAUGUUCAGUAUCAAAACUCAAGUCAAGAUCACAGGUACUCUAUAAUGCAAAUCAAAAUACAGUUUACAGACAUGGCUUCUUCAUCAAACCACUUGGCACACAAUUCUUCAUUUUGACAUGCCUCUUACAGGCAUGGGCUUAAAAGAUCCUGUGGUGACUGCAUGGCACUGCAGCCUGUGACAACACAUAUUCAGAUAGCAAACAUACUUGCUCGCAGCAGGAAAAAGCUGGAGGUUAGAGGGAGGGGAAACAAAAUCAUCCAGCUUUUCCCAUCCAACUCUGUGGUUCUAGUAAAACACAACCUGAUCCAGAUUUCUGAAGUGUUUUGAAUAAAGCCUAAUAAAGCUAUGCACCCACAGUUUUUUGAAGCUCUGUAACAACCAAAGUCAAAUAAAGUGUGCUAUAUGGUACAACAUCCCAAAAGUUCAAGAGCAUUCAUAAAAAUAACCUGGAUACUCCAAAACACCUGACUUCUGAUCAUCAAAGCCUGAGAAAAGAAAAACUGCAUCAACCUGCCUUUUGCAUUUUUCCAGUAAAAAUAAAAGCCUGUAUCAAUUCUGAAUGCCAGCAGAUUGUGCAGGCUGAAUAUCUGAAAGGAAAACCUUUAUUACAGAGUUGCAGUUCAGAGCUUUUUGGAAGCAGCAACUCAGCAGGGUAGUCAAUAAGACUUGUAAAUCCAUUUACUGCAUGUUUUAGAUCAAUUUCACUCUGAGUUCUUGUACAACAUUUCAAACCUGCUGAACCCCCAAGAUGUUCUUUUCCUGUGGUGCCUUUAGAAUAAAUCUCUCAGUCAUCAGAAAACACUGUGUGUUUUCCUUCAGUGUCAUGACUUGUGACUGGUAUUUUAAGCACCAUUAAAACUAAGGAGCUGAAUGUUGAAAAUAAAGCAGUAAGCAGAUAUUUCGCAAGUUCCUUCCUUUUCUCCAUACCGUUGCUUUUGUCUUACUUUCAAACAAAUGACUGAUUCAAUUUCUUGUUAUUGUUCUUUUUUCCACUGCCAGGUCUUAAUUGCAGCCUGAAAUACAUUGCCUGUGUGGACAAAAUUAACAAUGCAUCAAAAAUCAAUAAAAAUAUGUGCAGCUUUUUACUUCAAUUCACUUACCGAUGUUUAUCUUUAUGACAAGUUAUGGCUUGGCAUACGUCUUACCAGGGUCUGAUUUUUCUUGUUUACAUCUAAAUCUGCUGUCACUGCUCUUCAGUAACUUUCCUGAAGUUUUGCCUUGCAUCUGUAGGAACCUUCUUGAAAGCAACAGGGAAAUAUACUACAACAGCUGUGAGCUUUAGCCUCUCUCUUCUAGACCAUAAUAUAGCAAAUAAAAUUCCAAGAAGGUAUUGGUCAUGAGUUAUUUUUGCCUCAAUGGUUCAAGGGUUUUUAUUCAUAAGAUUACUUUGAGGGGUGCCUUAAGGGAUGAAAGAGCUAUUGCUAUGCAGUAUUUG